GAAGGUUUUGGACCAUCCCAUGCGGUUAGUGGUGGUCAGCGGUUAGCGGGGGUCAGCGGUCAGCGGAGGUCAGUGGUUAGCGGUGGUCAGCGGUUAGCAGGGGUCAGUGGUUAGCGGUGGUCGGCGGUCAGCGGAGGUCAGUGGUUAGCGGUGGUCAGCGGUUAGCGGUGGUCAGCGGUUAGCGGUGGUCAGCGGUCAGCGGAGGUCAGUGGUUAGCGGUGGUCAGCGGUCUGCGGAGGUCAGUGGUUAGCGGGGAUCAGCGGUUAGCGGGGGUCAGCGGUUACCGGAGAACAGUGGUUAGUGGAGAUCAGUGGUUAGCGGUGGUCAGCGGUUAGCGGAGGUCAGUGGUUAGCGGGGGUCAGCAGUCAGCGGAGGUCAGUGGUUAGCGGGGGUCAGCGGUUAGCGGGG
rnacentral:lncRNA from 1 species